UACGAAGGGGGCUAGCGUUGCUCGGAAUCACUGGGCGUAAAGCGCACGUAGGCGGACUCUUAAGUCGGUGGUGAAAUCCUGGAGCUCAACUCCAGAACUGCCUUCGAUACUGAGAGUCUCGAGUCCGAGAGAGGUGAGCGGAACUGCGAGUGUAGAGGUGAAAUUCGUAGAUAUUCGCAAGAACACCAGUGGCGAAGGCGGCUCACUGGCUCGGUACUGACGCUGAGGUGCGAAAGCGUGGGGAGCAAACCGG
rnacentral:rRNA from 1 species